GAGAUGUGUGAUGACGCAUAUCAAUAAGCGGAGGAAAAGAAACUAACAAGGAUUCCCCUAGUAACGGCGAGUGAAGCGGGAAGAGCUCAAAUUUGAAAUCUUAAAGGGUUUCCCUUUACGAAUUGUAGUUUAAAGAAGUGUUUUCUGUUGGAGUUUCGGUAAAAGUUCUUUGGAAUAGGACAUCAUAGAGGGUGAGAAUCCCGUAUUUGACCGUUACUUUCCAGCUGUGUGAUACACUUUCAAAGAGUCGGAUUGUUUGGGAAUGCAGUCCAAAAUGGGUGGUAAAUUUCAUCUAAAGCUAAAUAUUGGCGAGAGACCGAUAGCGAACAAGUACCGUGAGGGAAAGAUGAAAAGAACUUUGAAAAGAGAGUUAAACAGUACGUGAAAUUGUCAAAAGGGAAGCGUUUGACACCAGUGUUGUUUAGUUGAAAAUCAAUUAAAUAUUUUUCGAUUUUAAGUAGUAUUGACCUUAUCAGCUUGCUGCUUUUUUCUCGGAAAUUAUUCAAUGCACUUUUCAGUUAACAAGUCAACAUCAAUUUCUUUUGUUGUAAAAAGGUAAGAGGAAGGUGGCUUGCGCUUCGGCUCAAGUGUUUAUAGCCUUUUACCCCUGCAAUCGGAGAGAUUGAGGUCUGCAGUGUAGAUCCUUCGGGGUUAGAUACAUUUGUGCUAAGCUAUAGCCUUGUAUAGACAACUUGUUGACUAUGUUAAGUCUUGUAGCUUACUCGCUUAUGCUAUUUUACCUACGCUUAGGAUGUUGA
rnacentral:rRNA from 1 species